GUCGAACGAACUCUUCGGAGUUAGUGGCGGACGGGUGAGUAACACGUGGGAACGUGCCUUUAGGUUCGGAAUAACUCAGGGAAACUUGUGCUAAUACCGAAUGUGCCCUUCGGGGGAAAGAUUUAUCGCCUUUAGAGCGGCCCGCGUCUGAUUAGCUAGUUGGUGAGGUAAUGGCUCACCAAGGCGACGAUCAGUAGCUGGUCUGAGAGGAUGAUCAGCCACAUUGGGACUGAGACACGGCCCAAACUCC
rnacentral:rRNA from 1 species